UGGAUGAUGUGGAUUAAUUCGAUGCAACGCGAAAACCUUACCUACCCUUGACAUGUCCGGAAUCCCGAAGAGAUUUGGGAGUGCUCGCAAGAGAGCCGGAACACAGGUGCUGCAUGGCUGUCGUCAGCUCGUGUCGUGAGAUGUUGGGUUAAGUCCCGCAACGAGCGCAACCCUUGUCAUUAGUUGCCAUCAUUUGGUUGGGCACUCUAAUGAGACUGCCGGUGACAAACCGGAGGAAGGUGGGGAUGACGUCAAGUCCUCAUGGCCCUUAUGGGUAGGGCUUCACACGUCAUACAAUGGUCGGUACAGAGGGUUGCCAACCCGCGAGGGGGAGCUAAUCCCACAAAGCCGAUCGUAGUCCGGAUCGCAGUCUGCAACUCGACUGCGUGAAGUCGGAAUCGCUAGUAAUCGUGGAUCAGCAUGUCACGGUGAAUACGUUCCCGGGUCUU
rnacentral:rRNA from 1 species